rnacentral:rRNA from 1 species
CCCUUAGAUGUUCUGGGCCGCACGCGCGCUACACUGACGAAUGCAACGAGCUUAUAACCUUGGCCGAAAGGUCUGGGUAAUCUCCAAAUUUCGUCGUGAUGGGGAUAGAUUAUUGCAAUUAUUAAUCUUCAACGAGGAAUGCCUAGUAAGCGCAAGUCAUCAGCUUGCGUUGAUUACGUCCCUGCCCUUUGUACACACCGCCCGUCGCUCCUACCGAUUGAAUGGUCCGGUGAAGCGUUCGGACCGUGGCCUUUGGACGGUUCGCCGUCUGUUGGCUGCGGGAAUUUCGUUAAACCUUAUCAUUUAGAGGAAGGAGAAGUCGUAACA